CGUACCCAACACAGCAUGAGAAAACCCUCGAUGAAGCAAGACGUUGUCCCUACCAGACAAAGAAGCAAGCAGACACCAGCUCUCUGGGAACCUUGGGAGGCUGAGGACGGAGGAUGCAGCCUGCUGCAGCUGGAGCUAACGUCCUGUUCUGGUUCAGAAAACAGACCUUGGUCCAAGAGAACGGCUGACAAUGACUCCCGAUGAAUUAAACUUCUCCAACAAUAAACAUUUACAUUUUCACCAA